UGGGGAAUCUUGCGCAAUGGGCGAAAGCCUGACGCAGCCAUGCCGCGUGAGUGAUGAAGGCCUUAGGGUUGUAAAACUCUUUCACCGGGGACGAUAAUGACGGUACCCGGAGAAGAAGCCCCGGCUAACUUCGUGCCAGCAGCCGCGGUAAUACGAAGGGGGCUAGCGCUGCUCGGAAUUACUGGGCGUAAAGGGCGCGUAGGCGGAUCAGCAAGUUGGGGGUGAAAGCCCGGGGCUCAACCUCGGAAUUGCCUUCAAAACUGCUGAUCUAGAGUACGGGAGAGGUGUGUGGAACUCCGAGUGUAGAGGUGAAAUUCGUAGAUAUUCGGAAGAACACCAGUGGCGAAGGCGACACACUGGCCCGUUACUGACGCUGAGGCGCGAAAGCGUGGGGAGCAAACAGGAUUAGAUACCCUGGUAGUCCACGCUGUAAACGAUGAUUGCUAGUUGUCGGCAGGCAUGCCUGUCGGUGACGCAGCUAACGCAUUAAGCAAUCCGCCUGGGGAGUACGGUCGCAAGAUUAAAAACUCAAAUGAAUUGACGGGGUCAUAGCUG
rnacentral:rRNA from 1 species